AAGCCUGUGAGGAAUAAUUAUCAAAGUUGGAAUUACCAGCUGAGGUUGAGAAACCAGUGUGAUGAAAACCAAUCUGGCUGUCUGAGGCUUAUU